CUUCUUCAGGCAAAUAGACCUCCAUUCUGGACCAAUGUAUCACAGCACAGCCCGAGCACUGCAGACAGCAAGGCGUGGCUGCCCUUUUAAGAGACUUGGCUGGGUUUAAACUCACAGCUCCUGCAUCCCAGUCAGGUUCUCUGCCGUGCUGUCCACCAGGGGGCUUCAGUUUCUGUUUGCAUUUUUCUGCUUCCUGACCACCUUGCCCUGGAUAAAGCAGCACUGAUCCAUCUGCACCUAAUUAGAAGGCUGUAAAAGCCAGCCCUGUCUGAGACCUAGUAUCUGGUCAUUUUGCCUCUUUGAUUUUUCCUGCCGGAUCUUUG